rnacentral:rRNA from 1 species
UACGUAGGGUGCGAGCGUUUGUCCGGAAUUAUUGGGCGUAAAGGGCUCGUAGGCGGUUUGUCGCGUCGGGAGUGAAAACCUCGGGCUUAACUCGGGGCUUGCUUUCGAUACGGGCAGACUAGAGGUAUGCAGGGGAGAACGGAAUUCCUGUGUAGCGGUGAAAUGCGCAGAUAUCAGGAGGAACACCGGUGGCGAAGGCGGUUCUCUGGGCAUGAUCUGACGCUGAGGAGCGAAAGUGUGGGGAGCGAACAGG